UACGGAGGAUCCGAGCGUUAUCCGGAUUUAUUGGGUUUAAAGGGUGCGUAGGCGGUUUGAUAAGUUAGAGGUGAAAUGUCGGGGCUCAACCCCGAAACUGCCUCUAAUACUGUUGGACUAGAGAGUAGAUGCGGUAGGCGGAAUGUAUGGUGUAGCGGUGAAAUGCUUAGAGAUCAUACAGAACACCGAUUGCGAAGGCAGCUUACCAAUCUAUAUCUGACGUUGAGGCACGAAAGCGUGGGGAGCAAACAGG
rnacentral:rRNA from 1 species